CCUCAUCGCCAGGAUACUACGAGCUAAGCUUAAAACCCAAAGGACUUGACGGUGCCCCACAUCCCUCUAGAGGAGCCUGUCCUAUAAUUGAUACCCCUCGCUAAACCUCACCAUUCUUUGCCCCUCUCAGCUUGUAUACUUCCGUCGUCAGCUAACCACAUGAGUGAACUCCAGUAAGCCCAAUGCCCAUACGCCAAAACGUCAGGUCAAAGUGCAGUAAAUAGAAUGGGAACAGAUGGGCUACAUUUUCUAAGUUAGAAAAUAACGAAAGACUCCGUGAAACCAGAGUCAGAAGGCGGAUUUAGAAGUAAAAAGAAAUCAGAGUGUUCUUUUUAACUCGGUACUGGGGCGUGUACACACCGCCCGUCACCCUCA
rnacentral:rRNA from 1 species